GUAAAGGCAAAUCUUCUGAAGUUGGGAUAUAAUUAAUUUAAUUUCACAUAAUUACUGCGGUAGAAGCCAUUUGUUUGUUAAAAUUUUAUGAAAUAUAUUUGUUCUAUUUGAUGUUUGUUGUGAAUGAUGUAUACUCACAAACAAACGAGGAAAUUAGUCCAACGUGUUAGGAUCUGGGGAAGGCUGAUUGGGGGGUCUCUAGUUUCUCCACCAGGGGGCAUCCUGGGACCUUCUGGAGGGCGUGAACCUGGAGCUGCACACCUGCUGCCACUUACCAUUGUUUGGAGGGGUUUAUCAGGACGGAGCCGCCGACACUCCAGUGCCAGAGUGUUAGCCUGUGAUGGUAAUAUCAUUGUAGCUCACCUCCAACCGCCUGUUCUCCGAGUAACCUCCUUUUGUGCUGCCUUUCCUAGGUUGUCGUUCCGUGAAGCCCUGAGUUUCUUCAAACUUCUACGAACCUGGUCAGAUUACCUAAGAUCCUCGAGACCCCGCGGAGUCUACCCGUUGGUGGCCACGUCCCUGAGACCAGCCCUCAGUUCCGUCGGCGGCAGAUCCCUGGUCAAGCGGAUCCUUUCUGGCACCUGUCUGAGAUCUCCCUCCACUCACCUGUCCGCCCUCUAGAGAAACUCACGCCCUCGUUCCAGCCUGCAGCUCCGGAUCCUAGCGGUUCACCUCUCCGUGCUCAGAUGGGCUCACCGGCAAAGAUCCAGAACCACGCAGACGAGCACCAGUUCCGGACCACCUUGUACAUACCUGUUAGCACUGUAUUUAAUAAAUCACCAUAACCUUUA